AGAGUUUGAUCCUGGCUCAGGACGAACGCUGGCGGCGUGCCUAAUACAUGCAAGUAGAACGCUGAAGGGAGGAGCUUGCUCUUCUUGGAUGAGUUGCGAACGGGUGAGUAACGCGUAGGUAACCUGCCUUGUAGCGGGGGAUAACUAUUGGAAACGAUGGCUAAUACCGCAUAACAAUGGAUGACACAUGUCAUUUAUUUGAAAGGGGCAAUUGUUCCACUACAAGAUGGACCUGCGUUGUAUUAGCUAGUAGGUGAGGUAAUGGCUCACCUAGGCGACGAUACAUAGCCGGCCUGAGAGGGUGAUCGGCCACACUGGGACUGAGACACGGCCCAGACUCCUACGGGAGGCAGCAGUAGGGAAUCUUCGGCAAUGGGGGCAACCCUGACCGAGCAACGCCGCGUGAGUGAAGAAGGUUUUCGGAUCGUAAAGCUCUGUUGUAAGUCAAGAACGGGUGUGAGAGUGGAAAGUUCACACUGUGACGGUAGCUUACCAGAAAGGGACGGCUAACUACGUGCCAGCAGCCGCGGUAAUACGUAGGUCCCGAGCGUUGUCCGGAUUUAUUGGGCGUAAAGCGAGCGCAGGCGGUUUGAUAAGUCUGAAGUUAAAGGCUGUGGCUCAACCAUAGUUCGCUUUGGAAACUGUCAAACUUGAGUGCAGAAGGGGGGAGUGGAAUUCCAUGUGUGGCGGUGAAAUGCGUAGAUAUAUGGAGGAACACCGGUGGCGAAAGCGGCUCUCUGGUCUGUAACUGACGCUGAGGCUCGAAAGCGUGGGGAGCGAACAGGAUUAGAUACCCUGGUAGUCCACGCCGUAAACGAUGAGUGCUAGGUGUUGGAUCCUUUCCGGGAUUCAGUGCCGCAGCUAACGCAUUAAGCACUCCGCCUGGGGAGUACGACCGCAAGGUUGAAACUCAAAGGAAUUGACGGGGGCCCGCACAAGCGGUGGAGCAUGUGGUUUAAUUCGAAGCAACGCGAAGAACCUUACCAGGUCUUGACAUCCCGAUGCUAUUUCUAGAGAUAGAAAGUUACUUCGGUACAUCGGUGACAGGUGGUGCAUGGUUGUCGUCAGCUCGUGUCGUGAGAUGUUGGGUUAAGUCCCGCAACGAGCGCAACCCCUAUUGUUAGUUGCCAUCAUUCAGUUGGGCACUCUAGCGAGACUGCCGGUAAUAAACCGGAGGAAGGUGGGGAUGACGUCAAAUCAUCAUGCCCCUUAUGACCUGGGCUACACACGUGCUACAAUGGUUGGUACAACGAGUUGCGAGUCGGUGACGGCGAGCUAAUCUCUUAAAGCCAAUCUCAGUUCGGAUUGUAGGCUGCAACUCGCCUACACGAAGUCGGAAUCGCUAGUAAUCGCGGAUCAGCACGCCGCGGUGAAUACGUUCCCGGGCCUUGUACACACCGCCCGUCACACCACGAGAGUUUGUAACACCCGAAGUCGGUGAGGUAACCUUUUGGAGCCAGCCGCCUAAGGUGGGACAGAUGAUUGGGGUGAAGUC
rnacentral:rRNA from 1 species